GUGAACGCUGGCGGUAGGCCUAACACAUGCAAGUCGAACGGCAGCACAGUAAGAGCUUGCUCUUACGGGUGGCGAGUGGCGGACGGGUGAGGAAUACAUCGGAAUCUACUUUUUCGUGGGGGAUAUCGUAGGGAAACUUACGCUAAUACCGCAUACGACCUACGGGUGAAAGCAGGGGAUCUUCGGACCUUGCGCGAUUGAAUGAGCCGAUGUCGGAUUAGCUAGUUGGCGGGGUAAAGGCCCACCAAGGCGACGAUCCGUAGCUGGUCUGAGAGGAUGAUCAGCCACACUGGAACUGAGACACGGUCCAGACUCCUACGGGAGGCAGCAGUGGGGAAUAUUGGACAAUGGGCGCAAGCCUGAUCCAGCCAUACCGCGUGGGUGAAGAAGGCCUUCGGGUUGUAAAGCCCUUUUGUUGGGAAAGAAAAGCAGCAGGUUAAUACCCCGCUGUUCUGACGGUACCCAAAGAAUAAGCACCGGCUAACUUCGUG
rnacentral:rRNA from 1 species